GACGAACGCUGGCGGCGUGCUUAACACAUGCAAGUCGAACGGAAAGGCCCUGCUUGCAGGGUACUCGAGUGGCGAACGGGUGAGUAACACGUGGGUGAUCUGCCCUGCACUUCGGGAUAAGCCUGGGAAACUGGGUCUAAUACCGGAUAGGAGCCAUUUUUAGUGUGAUGGUUGGAAAGUUUUUUCGGUGUAGGAUGAGCUCGCGGCCUAUCAGCUUGUUGGUGGGGUAAUGGCCUACCAAGGCGGCGACGGGUAGCCGGCCUGAGAGGGUGGACGGCCACAUGGGGACUGAGAUACGGCCCAGACUCCUACGGGAGGCAGCAGUGGGGAAUAUUGCACAAUGGGCGCAAGCCUGAUGCAGAGACGCCGCGUGGGGGAUGACGGCCUUCGGGUUGUAAACUCCUUUCGCUAGGGACGAAGCUUUUUGUGACGGUACCUAGAUAAGAAGCACCGGCUAACUACGUG
rnacentral:rRNA from 1 species